CUUCCUUCUGCUGUUUUUCUCUGUACUUGGCACCGUUCCGCUGCUCUCAGCAACUGUGCCUCUGCUUGUCAGCUGGGGAGGGCUGCUGCUCAGGAUCUAGAAGACCGUGGCGCUCACGUGGGGCGGCAGGCUGCUCGGGAGAAAGGUCCCGGGUCUGCCACCCAAGAGACGGGCUCCAGACUGAACGACGUCAUUUCUUACGGCUACGACUUAGGGCAAAUUCCUUGCCCGUGCCGAACCUCAGCUUCCUCAGCAAUAAAUCAGAAAAAUCGUCACUAAGAGUAAGUGACUUAAUGUGUACAAGAGUGUGUGGACCCAGAGGCUCGCAAAUAUGGGUUGGAUUCAUUGCGCUGCCCCUGCCGAGCCCAGCUCUGUUUUGUGUUUUCAUUUUUGUUUUAUAACCUGGGGAAAAUAUGAUAAUCCAAAACUUUGUGGUAGAAUGAAAAACACUUUUAGAAUCUUUCAAAAAAAAAUCUUUGAGGGGACAAAAUGAGUAGCUAACAUAGAAAGGUGGUCAGUGCUAUAAAACUGUCAUUACAGCGCUUAUGACAUCGUAUUGUAAUGCAGGCAGUCUCCAGGUUACGACCUGAUUUACGGCAGUAGGCCCUUAUGAAGGGGCUCCCAACGCUCCCCAUAAGGAUAACUCAUAAUCAGAUAAUUAAAUUACCGGUGCUGGGGCUAGCUUCUUUCUCGCAUGUAAACAAACCCGCGUGGCCUAUGCGGUUGGUCGCACACCGUCUCUACGCCAGCUGCGGCUGGUCUCAGAGAAGGAUCGAGAAGCAGCUGAUGGAAGCACAACUGCACAAAGCAUCAGAAGAUCCAGAGCCAAGAAAGUUCACGAUGAAAGAAAGAGCUGAAGCUUUCGUCUCAUUCGAGCAGGGUUUGCUAAGCUCGAGGAGCAAGAUCCUAACGUUGCGCGGUUUACAAAGGUUGACCGUGCGGCUACUGAGAACAUCAGCGGCUACGAGGCCAUUUAUGAUGAAAAAAAGAAAAGGGCUGUGCAAACAACCCUAGACACCUUUUUCAAGAAAGCGACUUCAGUGGUCAGCUCCCUCCUCCAGCAACAGAACCAAAUCCUGACUCUCCGGCACCGUCUCCAUCAUCGCCUUCCCAUUAAUGUCAGCCUGACUUCAAAAAUGCCCCUGCCAGCAAGCGGGACGUUGGUGCAACCUUAUUCUCUUUGUCUAACGUGAGAUAGACAGGCACUUAGCCAUCUCACCAGACUCGUGCAGGUGCUGGAUCUCGGGUUGCAGAUAUGUAGGAAUAUGCCAUAAGGAUUUGCCUAUUCAUUUUCUCCCUCUGAUGAACAAGAGACAAGGUCUUGCUGUGUUGCCCAGGCUGGCCUCGAACU